GGUCGGGUAGAGAAUACCAAGGCGCUUGAGAGAACUCGGGUGAAGGAACUAGGCAAAAUGGUACCGUAACUUCGGGAGAAGGUACGCUCUUAUCAGUGAAGUCCCUUGCGGAUGGAGCAGACGAGAGUCGCAGAUACCAGGUGGCUGCAACUGUUUAUUAAAAACACAGCACUGUGCAAAAUCGUAAGAUGACGUAUACGGUGUGACGCCUGCCCGGUGCCGGAAGGUUAAUUGAUGGGGUUAGACUUCGGUCGAAGCUCUUGAUCGAAGCCCCGGUAAACGGCGGCCGUAACUAUAACGGUCCUAAGGUAGCGAAAUUCCUUGUCGGGUAAGUUCCGACCUGCACGAAUGGCGUAAUGAUGGCCACGCUGUCUCCACCCGAGACUCAGUGAAAUUGAAAUCGCUGUGAAGAUGCAGUGUACCCGCGGCUAGACGGAAAGACCCCGUGAACCUUUACUACAGCUUGGCACUGAACAUUGAACCUACAUGUGUAGGAUAGGUGGGAGACUUUGAAACCGCGUCGCUAGAUGUGGUGGAGUCGUCCUUGAAAUACCACCCUUGUAGUUUUGAUGUUCUAACGUUGGUCCCUGAAUCGGGAUUACGGACAGUGCCUGGUGGGUAGUUUGACUGGGGCGGUCUCCUCCCAAAGAGUAACGGAGGAGCACGAAGGUGGGCUAAACACGGUUGGACAUCGUGUGGUUAGUGCAAUGGCAUAAGCCCGCUUGACUGCGAGAAUGACAAUUCGAGCAGGUGCGAAAGCAGGUCAUAGUGAUCCGGUGGUUCUGAAUGGAAGGGCCAUCGCUCAACGGAUAAAAGGUACUCCGGGGAUAACAGGCUGAUACCGCCCAAGAGUUCAUAUCGACGGCGGUGUUUGGCACCUCGAUGUCGGCUCAUCACAUCCUGGGGCUGAAGUCGGUCCCAAGGGUAUGGCUGUUCGCCAUUUAAAGUGGUACGCGAGCUGGGUUUAGAACGUCGUGAGACAGUUCGGUCCCUAUCUGCCGUGGGCGUUGGAAAAUUGAAAGGGGCUGCUCCUAGUACGAGAGGACCGGAGUGGACGAACCUCUGGUGUUCGGGUUGUCAUGCCAAUGGCAUUGCCCGGUAGCUAAGUUCGGAAUCGAUAACCGCUGAAAGCAUCUAAGCGGGAAGCGAGCCUUGAGAUGAGUUUUCCCUGACGCUAUAAGCGUCCUAAAGGGUUGUCGUAGACUACGACGUUGAUAGGCAGGGUGUGUAAGUGCUGCGAGGCAUUGAGCUAACCUGUACUAAUUGCCCGUGAGGCUUAACCAU
rnacentral:rRNA from 1 species